UUUUUUUUCCAGUUUAAUCAAGUACUGUGAAGAACACGAACACGUAGAUGUAUUGGUGACAGGUAUCAGCCAAUCAGAGAAUCCCUUUAAGGAGAACAAGGCCUGUAUCAUCUUGUGAUGUUGAUGUGAUGGAUUAGCGUCAAGACGGUGGUGUACAAGUGUACAUGGAGUGUACACGGAGUGUACAACAGUAGCAGUAUUCACUACAUAUACCUGAGUGAUCUAUGGAUUCUUAUGGAGAGUUAAAAUGUAUUUAGAGUAUGGAAGUGUGUGCGUGUGUACACUAGGGUGACAUGUGUACAGAUCAACGGAGGUCCUCGUCAAGGACGUGAAGCAUCUCAUGUACGUGGCUUACUGUACAGGCUGUACUGUACACUUCCUUAUACUGUGUGUAUCAGCCAGUAAGUUCAGGAUCAACAAUGAUUUUAUAUCAGGUGUAGAGCGUGUGGGAGGUGUUAGUUACCUAGCAUCUGCUGUGUCCAUGUUUAUAGUCUGGCCUUAAGCCCCAAAGGUUGUAUUGCCUUCUAAAAGCCAGCUACAGAUCUUUCCCCAGCUGGUACGCCUUCUAAAAGCCAGCUACAGAUCUUUCCCCAGCUGGUACGCCUUCUAAAAGCCAGCUACAGAUCUUUCCCCAGCUGGUACGCCUUCUGAAAGCCAGCUACAGAUCUUUCCCCAGCUGGUACGCCUUCUGAAAGCCAGCUGCAGAACCUUCCCCAGCUGGUACGCCUUCUGAAAGCCAGCUGCAGAACCUUCCUCUGCUGGUACGCCUUCUAAAAGCCAGCUGCAGAUCUUUCCCCAGCUGGUACGCCUUCUGAAAGCCAGCUGCAGAACUUUCCCCAGCUGGUACGCCUUCUAAAAGCCAGCUCCUGAACUUUCCCCAGCUGAUACGCCUUCUAAAGGAAGUUGCAAGACUUUCCACAGCUGGUAUGCCUUUUUUAAGAGGGACCUUCCCCAGCUGGUGUACUGCCUUCAAGCUACUUGCAGAACCUUCCCCAGCUGGUGAAAUACCUGCUAAGAGCCAGCUGCAGGUGGGGCUACUUCAGGAGCCUCAGUUGGCUUGACCCUUGUCUGAUUAAACCAGUUUGCUAGAAGACUUCCUGUGUCCUCCUGUGAGACAUUUUCCACUGGAAACACUAAGACUGGUUCAUCUAGGCAAGAAAGUGCGGACGAACACUGUAUUUGCUAGUGUAACCAUCAUGUCAGUACCUAUCUGUAGUUACAGCAACAGUAUCAGUGGUUACAGGAGCAUAGAAAUGCUCAGAGCGCCCCGUAUUGAGUAUUAUAAUUGAAAGUACCACAGGAUGCGACCCACAUCAAAUAGGGGCGCCAGUGGUAGGGAGAUCCCUCUAGUCACACCCAGUGUCACUACCCAGUGUAGGACGCAGUGUGACACUUGCCUAGGUUAAACUACAGCUGUAGAAUAUUACACAUGUCAGGAUAUACAUUUCCUACUCACAAAAUGACGUAAAUGUUUCAGUAUUUUCGGCUGAGGUUAUAGAUGCAGACUUAUCGUCUGAGUAGUAAGUCACCUGUUACAAGCUGUCAUUUACAUUACUCACUGUUAUAGCUGUCAGCUGCUGCAUUUUUAUACUAGUAGUUAUAGAGGGAGUGUGUGGCUGUUGCUGUCACCUACUGUAGUGUAAACACACAGCUCUCUGUAAGGUUCUUGUAGUGUGUCAAUUUGAAAGUUGAGAAGCUGUCUCUUCUAGCCUCUGCCCAGUCUUCUUUCCCUUCUUCUUCUUCUACUUUCUCCUCUACUUCUUCAACUUCUACUACUACGUCUUCCUCUACUUCAUCUUCUCCUCCUCCUGCUGCUCCUCCUGCUACUGCUGCUUCUUCUCCUCCUCUUUAUUCUCUUCCCUUUACAUUCCCAGCAUCAUCAUGCCCUUCAUCACAGUGUGAUAUUUCUUCAUGUCCCUCUAGGUCCUCAUCCUUUUCGUUCGACUCCUCUCUUUUUCCCCCUUCGUCAUCUUUUUCUUAUUCAUCCACUUCCUCACCUCCUCAUCUCUCUCUUCUUCGUCUUCUGCACCCCAUAUACAUCAGUUAUCUUCCUAUCCCAUUCAAUUAACAGAUAUUUCUCUCCAUGAUCUAUCCAAUUCCUCUCCUCAGUCUUGCUAUGUUUCAACUUCAGUUCUCGACUCUACUGCAUUUCCUCUCUUUAUUCUCGCUGUUAUUGUCUUAUUGUUGGCCCUGUCUACUUUCCUCCUAUUCCUGUUUGUUAUCCAAUCUUGUCUUACUUCCCAGUUAGCAUUAUUAUUCUCAUUAUGGUGGUUCGUCUUGACUAACGCCAUGUCCAGUAGUUCCUUCUUAAGUUGCUUCUACCUGGCUUUCGCUAUUGUGUUUACAUCCACCAUUACUCUUCACUCUGUCUUCCUUCGUGUAUUUCAACGCAACUUGAAAGGAGGAGUAGAUUACCUUGGACCUCAGCUAGACGUAGGAGCAAGCCUGGUUACCACAACACAGGUACCUUCACGCUAGUACCGGAAAGAAUACCAAGUCUUCACCAUCCCAGGGCUCUACCAACAUGCAUGACUGCUGUGUGACCCACGUCGAGACACACUUGUCCUGUUUUCUGACAAACCUAACCUGACCUAACCCAACCUAACCUAACCUACCAAAAGCUCCAGCUGUGAGUCAUCAUAUAACUAAGACUCACGUCAGGAAACAAUUGUCCUGUUUCCUGACAAACAAAACCUAACCUAACCUAACCUAACCUGACCUGACGUAUAAUGGUGAAUAUCGAGUAAAUAUUAUAUGAUAUGGAGAAAAGCAUUCUUUCCACUUUAAUACACUAUACAUCACUAGACUUUACUAUGUAUACAAAAGAAAUCGAUGAAAAAGACACUUACUCAGCACUUGGGAAUGUUAGUAAGUUUAGGUACAGGUACACAGAAAUAUAAUUAUCAUAUAUAGUAACAUGUGUGUAAAUUACCCACAAGAACAACCCAAAGAAGUCAGACUUAUUUCUAUUGUAGUCCUUGUUUAUCCAGAGUAAAUAUUACCGCAUGCUGCACAA